rnacentral:rRNA from 1 species
GAUGAACGCUGGCGGCGUGCCUAAUACAUGCGAGUCGAGCGAACAGACGAGGAGCUUGCUCCUCUGACGUUAGCGGCGGACGGGUGAGUAACACGUGGAUAACCUACCUAUAAGACUGGGAUAACUUCGGGAAACCGGAGCUAAUACCGGAUAAUAUAUUGAACCGCAUGGUUCAAUAGUGAAAGACGGUUUUGCUGUCACUUAUAGAUGGAUCCGCGCCGCAUUAGCUAGUUGGUAAGGUAACGGCUACCAAGGCAACGAUGCGUAGCCGACCUGAGAGGGUGAUCGGCCACACUGGAACUGAGACACGGUCCAGACUCCUACGGGAGGCAGCAGUAGGGAAUCUUCCGCAAUGGGCGAAAGCCUGACGGAGCAACGCCGCGUGAGUGAUGAAGGUCUUCGGAUCGUAAAACUCUGUUAUUAGGGAAGAACAAAUGUGUAAGUAACUAUGCACGUCUUGACGGUACCUAAUCAGAAAGCCACGGCUAACUACGUG